UGAAAAUGAACUGAGACUUACUCUCUAUAAAACCAAGGAAUAAAACCAGGAACAAUGGAUAAAUCACAGGCUGAGGAAGAUCUUUCUUGGCUCCAAGCUGUACCACCUUGGGAGAUGGUGUCACAGCUGAAGUCACACUGCUCCUUUGAGCACCUCCACUUCUGCGGCUUUCUUCUUGUCUCCAGAAGUUUCCUUUAAAACCAACUGGGGAGGAAGAAUUCUCAUACCUCUGAG